rnacentral:rRNA from 1 species
GAUGAACGCUGGCGGCGUGCCUAAUACAUGCAAGUCGAGCGAACGGACGAGAAGCUUUCUUUUCUGAUGUUAGCGGCGGACGGGUGAGUAACACGUGGAUAACCUACCUAUAAGACUGGGAUAACUUCGGGAAACCGGAGCUAAUACCGGAUAAUAUUUUGAACCGCAUGGUUCAAAAGUGAAAGACGGUCUUGCUUUCACUUAUAGAUGGAUCCGCGCUGCAUUAGCUAGUUGGUAAGGUAACGGCUUACCAAGGCAACGAUGCAUAGCCGAGCUGAGAGGGUGAUCGGCCACACUGGAACUGAGACACGGUCCAGACUCCUACGGGAGGCAGCAGUAGGGAAUCUUCCGCAAUGGGCGAAAGCCUGACGGAGCAACGCCGCGUGAGUGAUGAAGGUCUUCGGAUCGUAAAACUCUGUUAUUAGGGAAGAACAUAUGUGUAAGUAACUGUGCACAUCUUGACGGUACCUAAUCAGAAAGCCACGGCUAACUACGUG